UACGUAAGGUCCGAGCGUGGUCCGGAUUUAUCGGGUUUAAAGGGUGCGUAGGCGGACUGGUAAGUCAGCUGUGAAAGUUUACUGCUCAACCGUGAAAUUGUAGUUGAUACUGUUGGUCUUGAGUAUACAUGAGGUGGGCGUAAUUUGUGGUGUAGCGGUGAAAUGCUUAGAUAUCACAAAGAACUCCAAUUGCGAAGGCAGCUCACUGGGGUAUAACUGACGCUGAUGCACGAAGGUGUGGGUAUCAAACAGU
rnacentral:rRNA from 1 species